UACGUAGGGGGCAAGCGUUGUCCGGAUUUAUUGGGCGUAAAGAGCGUGUAGGCGGCCAGGUAGGUCAGCUGUGAAAACUCGAGGCUUAACCUCGAGACGCCGGCUGAAACCCUCUGGCUAGAGUCCGGAAGAGGAGAGCGGAAUUCCUGGUGUAGCGGUGAAAUGCGCAGAUAUCAGGAAGAACACCCGUGGCGAAGGCGGCUCUCUGGGACGGUACUGACGCUGAGGCGCGAAAGCGUGGGGAGCAAACAGG
rnacentral:rRNA from 1 species